rnacentral:rRNA from 1 species
UACGGAGGAUGCAAGCGUUAUCCGGAUUCAUUGGGUUUAAAGGGUGCGCAGGCGGGCAUUUAAGUCAGUGGUGAAAAGCUGCCGCUUAACGGUAGUCUUGCCAUUGAUACUUUUUGUCUUGAGUUUGUUUGAGGUAGGCGGAAUGUGCAGUGUAGCGGUGAAAUGCAUAGAUAUUGCACAGAAGGCCGAUUGCGAAGGCAGCUUACUGAACCAUAACUGACGCUCAUGCACGAAAGCGUGGGGAUCAAACA